rnacentral:rRNA from 1 species
GACGAACGCUGGCGGCGUGCUUAACACAUGCAAGUCGAACGAUGAAGAAGAGAAACGCGAACUUCGGUUCAAAUUUCACUUCGGAUUAGUGGCAGACGGGUGAGUAACGCGUGAGCAACCUACCUCUUACAAAGGGAUAGCCUCGGGAAACCGUGAUUAAUACCAUAUGACACAUUCAUAAGGCAUCUUAAGAAUGUUAAAGCUACGGCGGUAAGAGAUGGGCUCGCGUCCCAUUAGCUAGUUGGUGAGGUAACGGCCCACCAAGGCGACGAUGGGGAACCGGCCUGUGAGCGUGAACGGUCACAUUGGAACUGGGACCCGGUCCAAACUCCUACGGGAGGCAGCAGUGGGGAAUAUUGCACAAUGGAGGGAACUCUGAUGCAGCGACGCCGCGUGAGCGAUGAAGGAAUUCGUUUCGUAAAGCUCUGUUCUAUGGGAAGAAAAGGACUGUACCAUAGGAGAAAGCCCCGGCUAAAUACGU